AAAUCUCAACCCCUGCCAUCUUUGCGGAUGAGCGUCGGUUGGAUUUUGGAGGUUGCCGGACGGUGCCGUUCGGCUCCUCUUGAAUGCAUAGUAAAGCUUGGACUUGACCGACCGAGUGGACGUGAUAGAAAAGUCACCGUCGACUGAAGGGUCCGUCGUUGAACGGUUCAAGCUUUGUUUCAUCGUCUUCGGACGAACAUCUCUGAC
rnacentral:misc_RNA from 1 species